GCUGUGGCUCUCAACACUGAUCCCUGAUCCAUGAGCUACAGUCAUGGGCAGGAUGGUUGCACCAGCCAAGAGAAUCAAUGAUUUUCCUAAGAGCAUCAGAAGGGGAUUCUGGUGGGGAUGGGGAUGGUCAGAAAGUUGCAAGCUAGGGAUGUCUUUGGCCAUGCUCCCUGUGGUGUAGAUGGCCCACAAAGGAAAAAAAAAAUGUUCCCACAAGGGAACAUUAAGUAUCCAAGUGUUCAGCUCCUUUUUGUGAUGGCCACAUUAGCUCCAUUUCUGGGAGCCACCCCACUACCUUCCUGAUUGCCCCUUUUAUUUUGCUUUAGCUAUUUUUAGUUGAGAAUUUGACAGCCACAAUCAUACAGCACUGACUGUUUUUUUUAAACCGCCUCUUUGAUAAAAGUAUCUGUCUUCAAAUGUCAAGUUGUAUAUAAAAUCCAUAUUUUCAUAGAAAAUCUGUUUCUUUUUAACAAAAUUGAUGUAGUUCUAUUCCUAUUACAUUCACUUUUUUUCCUAAGGGAAGUAAAGUUACCUUUCAGUAUCUUUUUAGGAAGGAAUAUAUAAUUCUAUUCAGAACGCUACAGAUUUGUGUCCCCACAUUCAGAGGACACAUGUAUAUAAUCAGGUCUGCCCCUCUCUGUCUGCAGCCAAGGUUGCUAUUUUGAGAUACGGCUGCUUUUCACAGUGGUCAAAAUGAACAAAUAAUGAAAAGAACAAAAUUUCCACAGAGACUUAAGCAACUACAGGAAUCUAG
rnacentral:lncRNA from 1 species